rnacentral:lncRNA from 1 species
AUACUAUCCCUUUGAGGACAUGCCCCUUGUGACCUAGGACCUCCCACUAGCCUCUACCUCUUAAAGGUUUCACCACUUUCUAAUAGUAUCAACUCAAAGACCAAGCCUCUAAUACAUGGGCCUUUGGGAGAUAUUUCAGAUCCAAACUGUAGCAAUUACAUAGUCAUGACUCAUAAUAAGGGUUCUAAAGCUCAAAAUUCUUUCUUGUUUUUUCCUUUCAGUGAGGUAAAAUCCAAGCCUCUUGUGGUUGGCAAGAACCUACAUUAGUAGCCUGUUUCUCCUACAUUUUGUACUAGAAUCUUGUGUGUUUUGUGCCUUGCUAAUUUAUCAGCACCUCAGUCAUACUGAACACAUAGUAGACCCUCAUUAUGUAGUUGCUGAGUGAAUAAAUAUUCAUCCAUUGUCUGCUGUAUAUAAGUGAUGAACUCCUUGAAGGCAAGCAUUGUGAUUUAGUUUUGGUAUUUAUGCCUAGAGUUGCUAGCAGCCCAGAGUAGGGUAUCAGUAAAAGUUCGUUAAGUUUUAUUGAAUUAAAUUUGGCCUUUGUCAUUUAUUGUCAAUAUAAGGAACUUGGAAAAGUUCCUUAAACUCUUGGAGCCUGAUUUGUAAUGUCUAUUUCUCAGAGUUGUCAAGACAAACAGAGCAUGUACUUUCCAGCCCAUACCUCCAUCAUCUCUCCAGCUCAGAAGCCCAUCUACCUGGACCAUAGUCAUUCUUCAUGGCCCCAUUCAAGAGAGAAGCCUUCUGAGCAUGGGCAGACCUGGG